rnacentral:rRNA from 1 species
AGAGUUUGAUCCUGGCUCAGAACGAACGUUGGCGGCGUGGAUUAGGCAUGCAAGUCGAACGAAUCCCGGUGGGGGUAACUCUGCCGGGGGAAGUGGCGAAAGGGGCAGUAAGGCGUGGGUAACCUACCCCGGGGAUGGGCAUAGCCGGCCUAACGGCCGGGUAAUUCCCAGCGAUUUGUCGAGGGGGCAUCUCCUUGACAGGAAACGAGUUUCGCCUCGGGAGGGGCUCACGUGAUAUUAGCUAGUUGGUGGGGUAACGGCCCACCAAGGCGGUGAUGUCUAGCGGGUGUGAGAGCACGACCCGCGCCACUGGCACUGCGACACUGGCCAGACUCCUACGGGAGGCUGCAGUCGAGAAUCUUCGGCAAUGGGCGCAAGCCUGACCGAGCGACGCCGCGUGCGCGAUGAAGGCCUUCGGGUUGUAAAGCGCUGUCGAGGGGAAGGAAAGCCGCAAGGCCUGACCGACCCCUGGAGGAAGCACGGGCUAAGUUCGUGCAGCAGCCGCGGUAAGACGAACCGUGCGAACGUUGUUCGGAAUCACUGGGCUUAAAGGGCGCGUAGGCGGCCCGUCAAGUCUCGGGUGAAAGCCCCCGGCUCAACCGGGGAAGUGCCUGGGAUACUGGCGGGCUCGAGGGGGAUAGGGGCGGACGGAACUUCCGGUGGAGCGGUGAAAUGCGUUGAUAUCGGAAGGAACGCCGGUGGCGAAAGCGGUCCGCUGGGUCCCCACUGACGCUGAGGCGCGAAAGCCAGGGGAGCAAACGGGAUUAGAUACCCCGGUAGUCCUGGCCCUAAACGAUGGGUACUAGGUUGUGGGCUUGACAUGGGCUCACAGCCCGAAGCGAAAGUGCUAAGUACCCCGCCUGGGAGUAUGGUCGCAAGGGCUGAAACUCAAAGGAAUUGACGG